rnacentral:rRNA from 1 species
CGCUAGCUACAGGCUUAACACAUGCAAGUCGAGGGGCAGCAUUUCAGUUUGCUUGCAAACUGGAGAUGGCGACCGGCGCACGGGUGAGUAACACGUAUCCAACCUGCCGAUAACUCGGGGAUAGCCUUUCGAAAGAAAGAUUAAUACCCGAUGGUAUAAUCAGACCGCAUGGUCUUGUUAUUAAAGAAUUUCGGUUAUCGAUGGGGAUGCGUUCCAUUAGGCAGUUGGUGAGGUAACGGCUCACCAAACCUUCGAUGGAUAGGGGUUCUGAGAGGAAGGUCCCCCACAUUGGAACUGAGACACGGUCCAAACUCCUACGGGAGGCAGCAGUGAGGAAUAUUGGUCAAUGGGCGCAGGCCUGAACCAGCCAAGUAGCGUGAAGGAUGACUGCCCUAUGGGUUGUAAACUUCUUUUAUAUGGGAAUAAAGUUUUCCACGUGUGGAAUUUUGUAUGUACCAUAUGAAUAAGGAUCGGCUAACUCCGUGCCAGCAGCCGCGGUAAUACGGAGGAUCCGAGCGUUAUCCGGAUUUAUUGGGUUUAAAGGGAGCGUAGGUGGACAGUUAAGUCAGUUGUGAAAGUUUGCGGCUCAACCGUAAAAUUGCAGUUGAUACUGGCUGUCUUGAGUACAGUAGAGGUGGGCGGAAUUCGUGGUGUAGCGGUGAAAUGCUUAGAUAUCACGAAGAACUCCGAUUGCGAAGGCAGCUCACUGGACUGCAACUGACACUGAUGCUCGAAAGUGUGGGUAUCAAACAGGAUUAGAUACCCUGGUAGUCCACACAGUAAACGAUGAAUACUCGCUGUUUGCGAUAUACAGUAAGCGGCCAAGCGAAAGCAUUAAGUAUUCCACCUGGGGAGUACGCCGGCAGCGGUGAAACUCAAAGGAAUUGACGGGGGCCCGCACAAGCGGAGGAACAUGUGGUUUAAUUCGAUGAUACGCGAGGAACCUUACCCGGGCUUAAAUUGCAUUUGAAUAUAUUGGAAACAGUAUAGCCGUAAGGCAAAUGUGAAGGUGCUGCAUGGUUGUCGUCAGCUCGUGCCGUGAGGUGUCGGCUUAAGUGCCAUAACGAGCGCAACCCUUAUCUUUAGUUACUAACAGGUCAUGCUGAGGACUCUAGAGAGACUGCCGUCGUAAGAUGUGAGGAAGGUGGGGAUGACAUCAAAUCAGCACGGCCCUUACGUCCGGGGCUACACACGUGUUACAAUGGGGGGUACAGAAGGCAGCUACCUGGUGACAGGAUGCUAUCCCAAAAGCCUCUCUCAGUUCGGAUCGAAGUCUGCAACCCGACUUCGUGAAGCUGGAUUCGCUAGUAAUCGCGCAUCAGCCAUGGCGCGGUGAAUACGUUCCCGGGCCUUGUACACACCGCCCGUCAAGCCAUGAAAGCCGGGGGUACCUGAAGUACGUAACCGCAAGGAGCGUCCUAGGGUAAAACUGGUAAUUGGGGCUA